AACGAACGCUGGCGGCAUGCCUAACACAUGCAAGUCGAACGAGACCUUCGGGUCUAGUGGCGCACGGGUGCGUAACGCGUGGGAACCUGCCCUUAGGUUCGGAAUAACUCCCCGAAAGGGGUGCUAAUACCGGAUAAUGUCUUCGGACCAAAGAUUUAUCGCCUUUGGAUGGGCCCGCGUUGGAUUAGCUAGUUGGUAGGGUAAAAGCCUACCAAGGCGACGAUCGAUAGCUGGUCUGAGAGGAGGAUCAGCCACACUGGGACUGAGACACGGCCCAGACUCCUACGGGAGGCAGCAGUGGGGAAUAUUGGACAAUGGGCGAAAGCCUGAUCCAGCACUGCCGCGUGAGUGAUGAAGGCCUUAGGGUUGUAAAGCUCUUUUACCCGGGAUGAUAAUGACAGUACCGGGAGAAUAAGCUCCGGCUAACUCCGUG
rnacentral:rRNA from 1 species